rnacentral:rRNA from 1 species
GUUUGAUCCUGGCUCAGAACGAACGCUGGCGGCAUGCCUAACACAUGCAAGUCGAACGAUCCCUUCGGGGAUAGUGGCGCACGGGUGCGUAACGCGUGGGAACCUGCCCUUAGGUUCGGAAUAACUCCUCGAAAGGGGUGCUAAUACCGGAUAAUGUCUUCGGACCAAAGAUUUAUCGCCUUUGGAUGGGCCCGCGUUGGAUUAGCUAGUUGGUGGGGUAAAGGCCUACCAAGGCGACGAUCCAUAGCUGGUCUGAGAGGAUGAUCAGCUACACUGGGACUGAGACACGGCCCAGACUCCUACGGGAGGCAGCAGUGGGGAAUAUUGGACAAUGGGCGAAAGCCUGAUCCAGCAAUGCCGCGUGAGUGAUGAAGGCCCUAGGGUUGUAAAGCUCUUUUACCCGGGAUGAUAAUGACAGUACCGGGAGAAUAAGCUCCGGCUAACUCCGUGCAGCAGCCGCGGUAAUAC